AGAUGAAAUUGGGUUAAGGGUGCCUCAACCUAUUGAUUCAUCCAGAAUUAAUUUAGCUCAUCUGGCUGGCCAGGUAGGUGGCCCCUUCCUAUAUUUGCCUGUCCUCUUUUUUUCUUUCUGAAGCUUCAUGCUUCAUUGAAGAAGAUGACUUACUUAAAUUGGUUUGAUAAGCAUAGAAAUGAAGCUGGCUUCCAAAUAAAACUUCUAAAAAAGUUCUCAAGGUCAAUUUAAAGGAGAAUUUAAGCUGUCUUACAUCACUAAUAACAAGGGUAACAUUGUGAAGAGACCGAAGUACAACUUUCCU
rfam:Callithrix jacchus chromosome X, whole genome shotgun sequence